rnacentral:lncRNA from 1 species
CGGGGGUUGUUCUUCACAAGGUGGUGGAGAUGGUGGUGAAUAAUUGACUGGGGGAGGAGAUGGCGGCGGCGGUGGUGAUAAAUAGGGAGUCAAAGGUAAUGAAGACGACUUAGGUGGCGGGGGUGGUGAUUGAGUUGAAAAUGGGGGUGAACUGUAGUAUGGUGAAGUGGGUGGUGAUGGUGGAGAAUAAGCUGGUGGCGGAGGUGACUGUGGAGUAUAAACUGGUGGCGAUGGCGGAGCCGAGUACACUGGUGGUGGUGGUGGAGGAGACUGUGGGGUAUAAACAGGUGGUGAUGGUGGAGCGGAAUACAUCGGUGGUGGCGGUGAUUGUGGAGUGUAAGCAGGUGGUGUAUAAAUAGGUGUUGUCGGAGAAGGUGUAGGCCCUAUACCAGGUGUUGAUGGUGGAGAAGGUGUAGGCCCUACACCGGGUAAUGAUGGUGGUGUAGAAGGUGAAGGUGUAGAAGGAGGUGUAUUAGGAUAAGAUGGUGAAGGUGUAGAGGGUGGUGUAUUUGGGGAAGGUGUAGAGGGUGGUGUAUUUGGGGAAGGUGUAGAGGGUGGUGUAUUUGGGGAAGGUGUAGAGGGUGGUGUAUUUGGGGAAGGUGUAGAGGGUGGUGUAUUUGGGGAAGGUGUAGAGGGUGGUGUAUUUGGGGAAGGUGUAGAGGGUGGUGUAUUUGGGGAAGGUGUAGAGGGUGGUGUAUUUGGGGAAGGUGUAGAGGGUGGUGUAUUAGGGGAAGGUGUCGAAGGUGGUGUAGAAGGGGAAGGUGUCGAAGGUGAAGGAACAAAUGCCGUACA